GAAACCUCUUGAUGCAGCAUCAUCAUCAUCAUCAUUAGCGCCAACAUGAGGCAUUUGAAUCAUAACUCCUUUAGCUUAUAUGUUUUGGGUUUUGGCUUUAUUUUCUUUUUCAUAAACUUCCUUUUUACGUAAUUUUUAUGUUUCCCUUUUCUAUUAGGGUUUGUCUAAUAGAAGAGCUAUAUAAAUGCAACUAAAGCUGAG
rnacentral:lncRNA from 1 species